UUGGUGGGGUAAUGGCCUACCAAAGCAACGAUCAGUAGCCGGCCUGAGAGGGUGAACGGCCACACUGGAACUGAGACACGGUCCAGACUCCUACGGGAGGCAGCAGUGGGGAAUAUUGCACAAUGGGGGAAACCCUGAUGCAGCAACGCCGCGUGAGCGAUGAAGGCUUUCGAGUCGUAAAGCUCUGUCCUAAGGGAAGAUAAUGACGGUACCUUAGGAGGAAGCCCCGGCUAACUACGUGCCAGCAGCCGCGGUAAUACGUAGGGGGCAAGCGUUAUCCGGAAUUAUUGGGCGUAAAGGGUGCGUAGGCGGCCUUAUGGGUCAGAGGUUAAAUACUACGGCUUAACCGUAGUAUGCCUUUGAAACUAUAGGGCUUGAGUGCAGGAGAGGAGAGUGGAAUUCCUAGUGUAGCGGUGAAAUGCGUAGAUAUUAGGAGGAAUACCAGUGGCGAAGGCGACUCUCUGGACUGCAACUGACGCUAAGGCACGAAAGCGUGGGUAGCGAACAGGAUUAGAUACCCUGGUAGUCCACGCUGUAAACGAUGAGUGCUAGGUGUUGGGGGUCAAACCUCGGUGCCGCAGUUAACGC
rnacentral:rRNA from 1 species